UACGUAGGUGGCAAGCGUUGUCCGGAUUUAUUGGGUUUAAAGGGUGCGUAGGCGGCCCUGUAAGUCAGUUGUGAAAUACGGCAGCUUAACUGUCGAGGUGCAAUUGAUACUGCAGGGCUUGAGUACUGAUGAGGUAGGCGGAAUGGACGGUGUAGCGGUGAAAUGCUUAGAGAUCGUCCAGAACACCGAUAGCGGAGGCAGCUUACUAAGGAGUAACUGACGCUGAGGCACGAAAGUGUGGGGAUCAAACAGG
rnacentral:rRNA from 1 species